GACGAACGCUGGCGGCGUGCUUAACACAUGCAAGUCGAACGGAAAGGCCCUGCUGUUGUGGGGUGCUCGAGUGGCGAACGGGUGAGUAACACGUGAGUAACCUGCCCUUGACUUUGGGAUAACUUCAGGAAACUGGGGCUAAUACCGGAUAGGAGCUCCUGCUGCAUGGUGGGGGUUGGAAAGUUUCGGCGGUUGGGGAUGGACUCGCGGCUUAUCAGCUUGUUGGUGGGGUAGUGGCUUACCAAGGCGUUGACGGGUAGCCGGCCUGAGAGGGUGACCGGCCACAUUGGGACGGAGAUGCGGCCCAGACUCCUACGGGAGGCAGCAGUGGAGAAUAUUGCACAAUGGGCGGAAGGCUGAUGCAGCAACGCCGCGUGCGGGAUGACGGCCUUCGGGUUGUAAACCGCUUUCGCCUGUGACGAAGCGUGAGUGACGGUAAUGGGUAAAGAAGCACCGGCUAACUACGUG
rnacentral:rRNA from 1 species